rnacentral:rRNA from 1 species
GACGUAGGGUGCGAGCGUUGUCCGGAUUUAUUGGGCGUAAAGAGCUCGUAGGCGGCUCGUCGCGUCGACCGUGAAAACCCGCAGCUUAACUGCGGGCUUGCGGUUGAUACGGGCGGGCUAGAGUUCGGUAGGGGAGACUGGAAUUCCUGGGUGUAGCGGUGAAAUGCGCAGAUAUCAGGAGGAACACCGGUGGCGAAGGCGGGUCUCUGGGCCGAUACUGACGCUGAGGAGCGAAAGCGUGGGGAGCGAACGGG